AACGAACGCUGGCGGCAUGCCUAACACAUGCAAGUCGAACGAGACCUUCGGGUCUAGUGGCGCACGGGUGCGUAACGCGUGGGAACCUGCCCUUAGGUUCGGAAUAACUCCCCGAAAGGGGUGCUAAUACCGGAUAAUGUCUUCGGACCAAAUAUUUAUCGCCUUUGGAUGGGCCCGCGUUGGAUUAGCUAGUUGGUAGGGUAAAAGCCUACCAAGGCGACGAUCCAUAGCUGGUCUGAGAGGAUGAUCAGCCACACUGGGACUGAGACACGGCCCACACUCCUACGGGAGGCAGCAGUGGGGAAUAUUGGACAAUGGGCGAAAGCCUGAUCCAGCAAUGCCGCGUGAGUGAUGAAGGCCUUAGGGUUGUAAAGCUCUUUUACCCGGGAUGAUAAUGACAGUACCGGGAGAAUAAGCUCCGGCUAACUCCGUG
rnacentral:rRNA from 1 species